UACGUAGGGACCGAGCGUUGUCCGGAUUUAUUGGGCGUAAAGAGCUCGUAGGCGGCCCUUCGCGUCGGAUGUGAAAGCUCAGGGCUCAACCCUGAGAGGCCAUUCGAUACGGGAGGGCUAGAGGUAGGUAGGGGAAAGUGGAAUUCCUGGUGUAGCGGUGAAAUGCGCAGAUAUCAGGAGGAACACCGGUGGCGAAGGCGGCUUUCUGGGCCUUACCUGACGCUGAGGAGCGAAAGCUGGGGGAGCGAACAGG
rnacentral:rRNA from 1 species